UAUGUGAUAGUGUCACCAACU
rnacentral:siRNA from 1 species